rnacentral:rRNA from 1 species
UACGUAGGGUGCGAGCGUUGUCCGGAAUUACUGGGCGUAAAGAGCUCGUAGGCGGUCUGUCGCGUCGGAUGUGAAAACUCGGGGCUCAACCCCGGGCCUGCAUUCGAUACGGGCAGACUAGAGUUCGGUAGGGGAGACUGGAAUUCCUGGUGUAGCGGUGAAAUGCGCAGAUAUCAGGAGGAACACCGGUGGCGAAGGCGGGUCUCUGGGCCGAUACUGACGCUGAGGAGCGAAAGCGUGGGGAGCGAACAGG